UGGCGGGAACUCUUUUUCGUCCUCGGAGGACGAGAGAAGUUAUGGUUCGUCACUGCCCAAGAGACCGGGAGACGAGAAAUUCCCGUUGCAGUUUACUGCUUGCUGAUGAAGAUGCUAUGGAGCUUGGAAGAUGACAGCGCUUCAAAGGCGAUGAUGACAGAUGUCAUACUAGGGACGCGCUCUUGCUAGUGAGGUGAAAGAUCCAUCGAUAUUUGGUAAGGUGACCCAAUUUGCAUAGAGAUAUAUAGGAUUCAUAGACUGCUUUCUUCAUCCAACGCUGUGUGUUUUAUUCGACACAUAAUACAUGUUUUGUUUUAAUGCAAAACAUCAAUAUUA